rnacentral:rRNA from 1 species
GGCGUCCUUCGGGCGUCCGAGUUGUAAUCUAUAGAAGUGUUUUCCGUGCCGGACCAUGUCCAAGUCCCUUGGAACAGGGUAUCAAAGAGGGUGACAAUCCCGUACUUGACAUGACCACCGGUGCUCUGUGAUACACUUUCUACGAGUCGAGUUGUUUGGGAAUGCAGCUCAAAAUGGGUGGUAAAUUCCAUCUAAAGCUAAAUAUUGGCGAGAGACCGAUAGCGAACAAGUACCGUGAGGGAAAGAUGAAAAGCACUUUGGAAAGAGAGUUAAACAGUACGUGAAAUUGUUGAAAGGGAAACGAUUGAAGUCAGUCGUGUUCUUUGGACUCAGCCGGUUCUUCCGGUCUAUUUCCUUUGAACGGGUCAACAUCAGUUUUGUCCGGUGGAUAAAGGCAGGAAGAAAGUGGCUCCCUCGGGAGUGUUAUAGCUUUCUGUCACAUACACUGGAGGAGACUGAGGACUGCAGCUCGCCUUUUGGCCGGGGUUCGCCCACGUUCGAGCUUAGGAUGUUG